rnacentral:rRNA from 1 species
CCUACGGGGUGCACCAGUGGGGAGUAUUGGACAAUGGGCGCAAGCCUGAUCCAGCAAUGCCGCGUGUGUGAAGAAGGUUUUCGGAUUGUAAAGCACUUUCAGCGGGGACGAUGAUGACGGUACCCGCAGAAGAAGCCCCGGCUAACUUCGUGCCAGCAGCCGCGGUAAUACGAAGGGGGCAAGCGUUGCUCGGAAUGACUGGGCGUAAAGGGCGCGUAGGCGGUUGUUACUGUCAGAUGUGAAAUUCCCGGGCUUAACCUGGGGGCUGCAUUUGAUACGUGACGACUAGAGUGCGAGAGAGGGUUGUGGAAUUCCCAGUGUAGAGAUGAAAUUCGUAGAUAUUGGGAAGAACACCGGUGGCGAAGGCGGCAACCUGGCUCAUGACUGACGCUGAGGCGCGAAAGCGUGGGGAGCAAACAGGAUUAGAUACCCCGGUAGUC